rnacentral:rRNA from 1 species
ACUACAUGAAGCUGGAAUCGCUAGUAAUCGCAGAUCAGAAUGCUGCGGUGAAUACGUUCCCGGGUCUUGUACACACCGCCCGUCACACCAUGGGAGUUGGAAAUGCCCGAAGCCAGUGACCCAACCGUAAGGAGGGAGCUGUCGAAGGUGGAGCCGAUGACUGGGGUGAAGUCGUAACAAGGUAAC